GUGAGAGAUGAGGGAGGAAGAUAGAUGGAGUCUGCUAAAGAGGAAUAGAGAUGGAGUGGGUGAGAGAGGGGAGAGACAGAGAUGAGUUUAGGAGGGAGGACAGUGUCCAUUUCAGCUUUCAGACAUGCUGCCCUGGAGGCAGUAUUAUCAGACCUGUCACUACACACUGAUAAGACACAAGUUCUGGUUGUCCCCGGCUCCAAACGACAUAUGUAAGAAUUCAGUGUUCGUGCUUCCAGUGAUAGUGAGGAAGAUACUGGUGGUAAGAGUCCUGGAUUGAUUAGUGUCUCGCUCACAUGAAAGCAUACACACACACACACACACACACUUAAAUACUUUAUUGGAAUCCAAGAAUCAAAUUUACAGAUUGACCACCAUUGUUUUUGUAGGUCAGGACUCACGGCAUGGGGCCAUGGCCAUCUAAACCUAAAUAAUCCAAGUUGAUCAUUUAUUGGUGUUUGGGAGAUGUGGUCCCACUAUACCAAGUUAGUUUUGUGUAUGUGCCAUCUCACACCAAGAAGUGACAUUCCAUUAGUGGCUCAGUGAGGGUAAACUGACCUGGGUCCGUAUCCACAAAGUGUCUCAGAGAAGGGGUGCUGAUCUGAUUUUAGAGGCUACUUAUAUAGACAAUUUGUAUAAAACCCAUAAACUGUAUUUAUGAUGAUAUGACAAUAUUUUAGGUUGACAAUAAUUAUAUCACACACACACACCCCACACACCAGUGGAGGCCCCUCCUCAGAGGAGCCUCCACAGAGGAGCCACCACAUCCUACUAAAAUGUUUUUUUUUUCAGAUAGAACUAUUGUAACGGCUGUCGUGGGUUGAAGAAGGUGAAGAGGACCAAAGUGCAGCAUGUAAAAUCCUGUCCUCAGUGGAAGUGUUGAGCUCCCUGAGGUCUGUGACCACCUCAACCCCUGUCCUGCACUGAAGUCAAGCCUCUGAACACCUCAACUCAUGCCUCAUAUCCUCCAGUGAUGCAAUCACUGCUGGGAUCCCUUCUCAACACGGUGUCUAAAUUCUUCCGUCAGUUCCAGACUGUGGGGGCGGGGCCACAGCUGCUUCCAAUCAUGGCCGUCUAAUAAAGAAGGCUUGCAGGUCGGUCCAGGUCGCUGUAUCCGCACACCAUAUCAUUUCAGACUGCUAGUGGGGCAGAAAAUUGUAUGAAUUGCCUCCCCCUAGCCCCCCACACACAUUUUAUUGUUCCUUUCUUCAGAAGUCUCUGUCCUGUCAUUUGUCUCCUCAGACUAUCUAUCCUCCACAUUUCUUGCUCAAUACACAGUGGCAGUGGGUCAUUUGAUUCCUAGGCAUCAAUGCCCUGCUUGUUUCUAAGUUACUGUUUAACCCACUUUUGAUGACUGUGAAAAACAGCUUGAUAAAGCAACUCUGAAAUGUGACUUUCAUUAAGCAGUAAGUGCAUGGGAAUUAACAUCAACCAACAGACCCUCAAGGUCUUGACUUACACAGAUUGCCCUUUAGUGCACUGACUGGGAUGUGCUCCAGUCGUGACCACGGUUUGUAAACCAGUGUUGACAGAACCAUGUUUGCCAUCUACUGAUAGUCCUGCUGACUGGCAUAUAAAAAAGGCACCACACGGGACAAAUGGUUAUUAGUGGGUGAGUAACGUGUGUUUGGAGGGUUAGUAAAUGGUUGUAAGAGUUGAAAGGCUUGACUCGGGGUGGUUAUCUGGCCCUUAGCAGUAGAUGAGAUUGAUGUGUGAGGAGGCCAUGGGUUAACCCUUUACAUUAGUACCUGUUAACGGGCUGAAAAUGGUAGACAUGGCUAUCUGUCUAAGUGGCUGUACAAUAACGUGCUAUCCAUGGCGUCGGAGCUCCGGCUCGUCACUUCACAGCGCCGUAUGGGCUUUGACUGACAACUGUUCUGAACUUGAGCGCCGCACGCGACAGGAAGUGGCCGUAGCUGGGCAACUUCUGCCAACGCUGUUGUUGUCAGGGUGAGGAAAAUGCUGCAAGUUAAGAUGACUCGAUGCAUUUUGAAAGAUGAGAUGUGGAGGAUUGUAAUAAAUACAGGCUGACGUCGUACACAAGCAAACCAAACACCUGUGAGUCCAAGUGUUGCACGGCACAUCUCCAAAUCAUAAAACUCAGCUCAUCAUACCGUGCCAACGUUUAUGAUCACUAUGUUUGAUGUGCUGGUGCGAGAUCGCGUCGUCAUACCCUGGGUUGUUUUGAACAGAAU